GCAAACGCCCCCCGGUUACCUGUCGGGCCGGGGUUGGAAUAUCCUCGGACACCCCGAUCCUCCCGGGCGGCGCACGGGUGCCGCGGGGCCAAGCCGGGCGGAGCGCGCUGCGCCUCACGAGCGGCAGCAUCCAAGCCGGCGCCUGCCGAGCCGGGCACUAACGGAAGGAGGAGCGGGAGGUUACGGCGGGGAGCUGGGAGAAACCAUUCCCCACGAGGGGAUACUGCUGGUGGCCGGCCAGGCGGGGCGAGAAGGACUGCCCUCCCACGCAGGGCUGCUUUCUAGAAGAACAUGAACCAUGAGAGAUCCAACAACCCCAGGGACCAGCCCCACAGUACUCAAGCAAGGAAUUUCAAGUUCUAGAAAAGAUAAACAAUGUAGGGAUAAACUCAAAAGGACAACCAAGAAUACCCCAGGUAAUAUUUUCUAUUGUCUAUUCACUCUUGUCCUAUAAUUUUUCUGAGAUUGAAGAUUUGUCUUCAUUGUGUAGCAUUCAGCAUCAGGAACUAUUAAAAGAGAGUAUAAAAUAAACAUGUGGAGUGAGUACUUGUAGAAUAGCACACUAUGCAAUGAUUUCACUAAGUUUAUAUGGAUUUCCAUACAAAAAACCCAAAACAACCAAACAAACAACUCAUGCCUUGAAAGCUGUUUUAUCCCUCUUUAAUGAGUAGGAUGCAAAUGCAGAAAGGAUAGCCUGAUAACA